rnacentral:rRNA from 1 species
GUGGGGAAUAUUGGACAAUGGGCGCAAGCCUGAUCCAGCCAUGCCGCGUGAGUGAUGAAGGCCUUAGGGUUGUAAAGCUCUUUCACCGAUGAAGAUAAUGACGGUAGUCGGAGAAGAAGCCCCGGCUAACUUCGUGCCAGCAGCCGCGGUAAUACGAAGGGGGCUAGCGUUGUUCGGAUUUACUGGGCGUAAAGCGCACGUAGGCGGUUUGUUAAGUCAGGGGUGAAAUCCCGGAGCUCAACUCCGGAACUGCCUUUGAUACUGGCAAGCUAGAGUCCGGAAGAGGUAAGUGGAACUCCUGGUGUAGAGGUGGAAUUCGUAGAUAUUAGGAAGAACACCAGUGGCGAAGGCGGCUUACUGGUCCGGAACUGACGCUGAGGUGCGAAAGCGUGGGGAGCAAACAGGAUUAGAUACCCGGGUAGUCC